rnacentral:miRNA from 1 species
GCUCAGGGAUGAUAACUGUGCUGAGA